AUUGAACGCUGGCGGCAGGCCUAACACAUGCAAGUCGAACGAGUGGCGGACGGGUGAGUAAUGUCUGGGAAACUGCCUGCUGGAGGUGGAUAACUACUGGAAACGGUAGCUAAUACCUCAUACCAUCAGAUGUGCCCAGGUGGGAUUCGCUUGUUGGUGGGGUAACGGCUCACCAAGGCGACGAUCGCUAGCUGGUCUGAGAGGAUGACCGGCGACACUGGAACUGAGACACGGGCCAGACUCCUACGGGAGGCAGGAGUGGGGAAUAUUGGACAAUGGGCGCAAGCGUGAUGCAGCCAUGCCGCGUGUAUGAAGAAGGCCUUCGGGUUGUAAAGUACUUUCAGCGUGGAGGCGUUACCCGCAGAAGAAGCACCGGCUAACUCCGUGCCAGCAGCCGCGGUAAUAC
rnacentral:rRNA from 1 species